rnacentral:rRNA from 1 species
AAAUUGAAGAGUUUGAUCAUGGCUCAGAUUGAACGCUGGCGGCAGGCCUAACACAUGCAAGUCGAACGGUAACAGGAAACAGCUUGCUGUUUCGCUGACGAGUGGCGGACGGGUGAGUAAUGUCUGGGAAACUGCCUGAUGGAGGGGGAUAACUGCUGGAAACGGUAGCUAAUACCGCAUAAUGUCGCAAGACUAAAGAGGGGGACC